rnacentral:rRNA from 1 species
GACGAACGCUGGCGGCGUGCCUAAUACAUGCGAGUUGAGCGCUGAAGGUUGGUACUUGUACCAACUGGAUGAGCAGCGAACGGGUGAGUAACGCGUGGGGAAUCUGCCUUUGAGCGGGGGACAACAUUUGGAAACGAAUGCUAGUACCGCAUAAAAACUUUAAACACAAGUUUUAAGUUUGAAAGAUGCAAUUGCAUCACUCAAAGAUGAUCCCGCGUUGUAUUAGCUAGUUGGUGAGGUAAAGGCUCACCAAGGCGAUGAUACAUAGCCGACCUGAGAGGGUGAUCGGCCACAUUGGGACUGAGACACGGCCCAAACUCCUACGGGAGGCAGCAGUAGGGAAUCUUCGGCAAUGGACGAAAGUCUGACCGAGCAACGCCGCGUGAGUGAAGAAGGGUUUCGGAUCGUAAAACUCUGUUGGUAGAGAAGAACGUUGGUGAGAGUGGAAAGCUCAUCAAGUGACGGUAACUACCCAGAAAGGGACGGCUAACUACGUG